GAUCCACUUCUCCUCCAUCAAUCUGUCCAAGCUCCUUUUAAAACUAUCCAGAAUUACGUUAGCCGCUUUAGUCCCUCACUGAGGAAAAAGGCAGGGUGGGAGAAUCAAUAAAUACCGCCCCCCC